GAUGAACGCUGGCGGCGUGCCUAAUACAUGCAAGUCGAGCGAACAGACGAGGAGCUUGCUCCUCUGACGUUAGCGGCGGACGGGUGAGUAACACGUGGAUAACCUACCUAUAAGACUGGGAUAACUUCGGGAAACCGGAGCUAAUACCGGAUAAUAUAUUGAACCGCAUGGUUCAAUAGUGAAAGACGGUUUUGCUGUCACUUAUAGUUGGAUCCGCGCCGCAUUAGCUAGUUGGUAAGGUAACGGCUUACCAAGGCGACGAUGCGUAGCCGACCUGAGAGGGUGAUCGGCCACACUGGAACUGAGACACGGUCCAGACUCCUACGGGAGGCAGCAGUAGGGAAUCUUCCGCAAUGGGCGAAAGCCUGACGGAGCAACGCCGCGUGAGUGAUGAAGGUCCUCGGAUCGUAAAACUCUGUUAUUAGGGAAGAACAAAUGUGUAAGUAACUAUGCACGUCUUGACGGUACCUAAUCAGAAAGCCACGGCUAACUACGUG
rnacentral:rRNA from 1 species